rnacentral:rRNA from 1 species
UACGUAGGAGGCGAGCGUUGUCCGGAGUUACUGGGCGUAAAGGGUGCGCAGGCGGCGUCACGCGUGGCUAGAUGAAAUCUCCUGGCUUACCUGGGAGGGUGGUAGCCAGACGGUGGCGCUUGAGGGUCGGAGAGGGGCGUGGAAUUCCGGGUGGAGCGGUGAAAUGCGUAGAGAUCCGGAGGAACACCGACGGCGAAGGCGGCAUCCUGGACCGACACUGACGCUGAGGAGCGAAAGCCAGGGGAGCAAACGGG